GUAGGAGAGGCAAUCGCGGGGAAGAAAUUUUCCGAGGAAAGUCCGGACUCCACAGAGCAGCGUGCCGGGUAACGCCCGGUGAGAGAAAUCUUAAAGAAAGUGUCACAGAAAAGGAAACCGCCGAAAAGCAAUUAGAAAUGCGCAAUGCGCAAUUAAAAAAAUCAUUACGCAUUACGCACUACGCAUUACGCAUUGCAGUUCGGUAAGGAUGAAAAGGCAGGGUAAGAGCCUACCGCAGGACGGGCGACCGUUCGGGCUGAUAAACCUCACGCGGAGCAAGCCUAAAUAGGAGAUGGAUGAGGUUGCUCGCUGACAUCUCGGGUAAGGUGCUACGACUUGGGCGGCAACGUUCAAGCAAGAUAAAUGAUUGCCACUAUACAGAAUCCGGCUUAUUGAUUGCCU
rnacentral:RNase_P_RNA from 1 species